GAUGAACGCUGGCGGCGCGCCUAAUACAUGCAAGUCGAGCGAACAGACGAGGAGCUUGCUCCUCUGACGUUAGCGGCGGACGGGUGAGUAACACGUGGAUAACCUACCUAUAAGACUGGGAUAACUUCGGGAAACCGGAGCUAAUACCGGAUAAUAUAUUGAACCGCAUGGUUCAAUAGUGAAAGACGGUUUUGCUGUCACUUAUAGAUGGAUCCGCGCCGCAUUAGCUAGUUGGUAAGGUAACGGCUUACCAAGGCAACGAUGCGUAGCCGACCUGAGAGGGUGAUCGGCUACACUGGAACUGAGACACGGUCCAGACUCCUACGGGAGGCAGCAGUAGGGAAUCUUCCGCAAAGGGCGAAAGCUUGACGGAGCAACGCCGCGUGAGUGAUGAAGGUCUUCGGAUCGUAAAACUCUGUUAUUAGGGAAGAACAAAUGUGUAAGUAACUAUGCACGUCUUGACGGUACCUAAUCAGAAAGCCACGGCUAACUACGUG
rnacentral:rRNA from 1 species